UAGUCCAUGCCGUAAACUAUGAGUGCUAAGUGUUGGGAGGUUUCCGCCUCUCAGUGCUGCAGCUAACGCAUUAAGCACUCCGCCUGGGGAGUACGACCGCAAGGUUGAAACUCAAAGGAAUUGACGGGGACCCGCACAAGCGGUGGAUGAUGUGGUUUAAUUCGAUGCAACGCGAAAAACCUUACCUACCCUUGACAUGUCUGGAAUCCUGAAGAGAUUUGGGAGUGCUCGAAAGAGAGCCAGAACACAGGUGCUGCAUGGCCGUCGUCAGCUCGUGUCGUGAGAUGUUGGGUUAAGU
rnacentral:rRNA from 1 species